AUACUUACCUGGGAGGGGAGAUACUAUGAUCGUGAGGGUGGUUUUCCCAGGGCGAGGUUUAUCCAUUGUACCCUGGAUGUGCUGACCGCUGUGAUUUCCCCAAAUGUGAGAAACUCGACUGCAUAAUUUGUGGUAGUGGGGGACUGCAUUCUCACUCUCCUCUG